CACGUAGGCGCCAAGCGUUGUCCGGAUUUAUUGGGCGUAAAGCGCGUGUAGGCGGUCCGGUAAGUCCGCUGUGAAAGUCGGGGGCUCAACCCUCGGAUGCCGGUGGAUACUGUCGGGCUUGAGUACGGAAGAGGCGAGUGGAAUUCCUGGUGUAGCGGUGAAAUGCGCAGAUAUCAGGAGGAACACCAAUUGCGAAGGCAGCUCGCUGGGACGUUACUGACGCUGAGACGCGAAAGCGUGGGGAGCAAACAGG
rnacentral:rRNA from 1 species